UGGGGAAUAUUGCACAAUGGGCGAAAGCCUGAUGCAGCGACGCCGCGUGCGGGAUGAAGGCCUUCGGGUUGUAAACCGCUUUUAAUUGGGAGCAAGCGAGAGUGAGUGUACCUUUUGAAUAAGCACCGGCUAACUACGUGCCAGCAGCCGCGGUAAUACGUAGGGUGCAAGCGUUAUCCGGAAUUAUUGGGCGUAAAGAGCUCGUAGGCGGUUUGUCACGCCUGGUGUGAAAGUCCAUCGCUUAACGGUGGAUCUGCGCCGGGUACGGGCAGGCUAGAGUGCAGUAGGGGAGAUUGGAAUUCCCGGUGUAACGGUGGAAUGUGUAGAUAUCGGGAAGAACACCAAUGGCGAAGGCAGAUCUCUGGGCUGUUACUGACGCUGAGGAGCGAAAAGCAUGGGGAGCGAACAGGAUUAGAUACCCUGGUAGUCCAUGCCGUAAAACGGUGGAUGCUGGAUGUGGGACCCUUCCACGGGUUCCGUGUCGGAGCUAACGCGUUAAGCAUCCCGCCUGGGGGAGUACGGCCGCAAGGCUAAAAACUCUA
rnacentral:rRNA from 1 species